GACGAACGCUGGCGGCGUGCCUAAUACAUGCAAGUAGAACGCUAAAGGAGGAGCUUGCUUCUCUGGAUGAGUUGCGAACGGGUGAGUAACGCGUAGGUAACCUGCCUGGUAGCGGGGGAUAACUAUUGGAAACGAUAGCUAAUACCGCAUAAGAGUAGAUGUUGCAUGACAUUUGCUUAAAAGGUGCAAUUGCAUCACUACCAGAUGGACCUGCGUUGUAUUAGCUAGUUGGUGGGGUAACGGCUUACCAAGGCGACGAUACAUAGCCGACCUGAGAGGGUGAUCGGCCACACUGGGACUGAGACACGGCCCAGACUCCUACGGGAGGCAGCAGUAGGGAAUCUUCGGCAAUGGACGGAAGUCUGACCGAGCAACGCCGCGUGAGUGAAGAAGGUUUUCGGAUCGUAAAGCUCUGUUGUAAGAGAAGAACGAGUGUGAGAGUGGAAAGUUCACACUGUGACGGUAUCUGACCAGAAAGGGACGGCUAACUACGUG
rnacentral:rRNA from 1 species